rnacentral:misc_RNA from 1 species
UUUCCGUAGGUGAACCUGCGGAAGGAUCAUUAACGAGUAAGGGUCUUUGGGCCCGUUCUCCACCCCUUUGUGUAGCUAUCAUGUUGCUUUGUCCGGCCCGUCUCACCACCGCCGUAAGCUUGGCUUCGACGAAUCUUCUGCCGCGUGCCCGUCAGUGGCCCCUUCAUAUUCUUGAUCAAGUAUGAUGUCUUAGUUAAAAACUAAACAGUUAAAACUUUCAACAACGGAUCUCUUGGUUCUG